rnacentral:sRNA from 1 species
AAUAAUUUGGAUGGUAAGAUUUUUAAGAAAGGGGAUUAUGCGAUAGCAGCAACGAGGGCGGUUUAUUAUGUUACCCUUGUCAAUCACAGUAGUGCCUCAAAGUGAAACAAGGUGCUUGCAUUAAAGGAUUUGCAUUCCCUGCAUGGGUUGAAAUAGACACGUGGAAAGCUUGGUCUUGGUGCAAAGAUGGUAUUGAUUGAGGAGAAAUAGGUCCAGGGACUAAAUAGGAAGUUGAAGUACGGGCUUGCUUUGUACAUGUGGUGGAGAAAAUGCAAGAGCUAAUAAGUAAAAGUCAGGAAGACAGACUAUUUCCAAUGAGGAGCAUUGGUGUCUUAAAGAUAUUAUCGUUUUCAUGAUGUUACAAGGUGAAGAACUUAAAGACUUUGUUGAUGUAAACACUUAGAAAUUUUCUUGUGUUUAGAAAGUUUGCGCCAAUAAUCAAUUAUUUGGUGUAUAAUCGAUUAUCACGAGCAUAUUUGAAAAAGAUAUGCUCAUGCAAAUAAUCGAUUAUCUUUGUCUGAUUCAGUAUUGCCCAGGUCGCGCAAAUAAUCGAUUGUUCCUCAAGAUAAUCGAUUAUCUCUUUUUGAAAACCCCAUAACAGACACAAAUAAUCGAUUAUCAUAAUAAAUUAUAUUUGGCAGUUGGGAGUUGUCUUUUCAUUUUCAGAGCCUUGGCUUAUAAAUAUAAGUCUUUACAACUCUUAGAAAGUAUAUUUUCAAUUUGAGAGUAUUAGAGUUGUCUGCCUAAGGGAAGCUCUUUGAGAGUGAAAAAGAAUCUAAGCCACUUGAAAAUACAGAAACCCUCUGAGGAAGUUUUCAAGUGUUAGAGGUACUCAAAUCAAGUCUUGUGAAAAGGAGAAACUUGCGCUUAAUGGAUCUAAGGUCGAAGCGUUCCUCUUCAAGUUCAUUGAGCAGAUUCUUUAGUUCAUUAAUCCAAGGAAGGUGGUUUUUGUUCUUAUUUUUUAUUCCAUUCUAUUGUAAUCUAUGAAUAAUAUUUUAUUGAAGCUACAUGUGGUAUGGUUAUGAGCCUGUAUGGGGAAGCUACAUGUGGUAUGGUGAAGCUACAGGUGGUAUGAUUGAGUACAAGAGACAGACCAAUGUCCUUCAUGAUGAUGUUGGGAAUUUGUAGUGACUUUGUGUUUAAAGACGAUGUUGAUAAGGAUACCGUUGAUGGUAUAGUAAUGAUAUAAUUAAUGAGAAUGUUGGUGAUGAUCAUGUUGUAGAAAUGAUUUUGUUAGUAGGAUAGAGUUGUAGACAAUUAAUUGUUAUUAAGUUGAGUUGUUUCUUAUGUACAAAUUUUAUUGUUAUUGGUUAUGUUAUGGUAGCUUAUCCAUAUUUGUUUGUUCUUGUGGUUAUGUGUGUGUUUUGUGAUGAUUGUAGGACCUUUGAUUAUACGAGAGCAUGAGAUGUAUCAGAUGCUUGAUAAAUAUGCUAGAAUGAGGAGCAGCUUUGGGUUUAUUUAAAGCUUUGAGUUAUAAAUUUAAGAAAUAAUGUAAAUGGAUUAAUUUUAUUUCUUGAUUAAUUUGGUUAAUUUUUGGGAUUUUGUAAUUGGAUUAUAUUUUUGGUGAAGUUAGAACUUUGUUUAAAUUCUGUAAG